rnacentral:tmRNA from 1 species
GGGGCUGUCCCGGAUUCGAUGGGGAAGGGGAUACGGUAUAAGCACGCCGAAGGCUCGACUUCGUAAAAACGGAAAAUUAAAUUUAAACGCAAAAAAUAAUAAACAAGUAGCAUUCGCUGCCUAAUCAGCGGGCUUGUCGACCCGAGAAUCCACGGCUCGGUCAUCGGCAUCAAUCAGUGGAACAGGGUCGGGCGCAUACGCCUUUAACGUCCGACAAAAUCUAAGGCUUGCCAAAACGUUUCUCCGUGAAUAGAGAACGCAAGGGACUAAUA